rnacentral:lncRNA from 1 species
CUCAUUUUCUCUUGCUCCUGCCGUGUAAGAAGUGCCUUUUGCCUCCCACCGUGAUUCUGAGGCCUCCCCAACCAUGUGCAAUUGCACAGGCCCAGGCUGAAGAGGAAAGACAAGAGCCGCCCUGCCCAGAAACGUCCACAUGUGGGUACUGCAUUCCUACCGGUGUGACAGGUCAGUGUGACAGGUCGGUGUGACAGGCACCGGUGUGACAGGUCGGUGUGACAGGCACCAGUGUGACAGGCACCAGUGUGACAGGUCGGUGUGACAGACACCGGUGACAAGUCAGUGUGACAGGCAGUGGUGUGACAGGCACCGGUGUGACAGGUACUGUUGUGACAGGUCGGUGUGAGACACUGGUGUGACAAGUCAGUGUGACAGGCAGUGGUGUGACAGGUCGGUGUGACAGGCACCAGUGUGACAGGCCCCGGUGUGACAGGUAGGUCAUGCUGUGACAGGCCCCGGUGUGACAGGUCGGUGUGACAGACACCAGUGUGACAGGCCCCGGUGUGACAGGUAGGUCAUGCUGUGAUAGGCCCCGGUGUGACAGGUCGGUGUGACAGGCACCAGUGUGACAGGUAGGUCAUGCUGUGAUAGGCCCCGGUGUGACAGGUCGGUGUGACAGGCACCAGUGUGACAGGCCCCGGUGUGACAGGUAGGUCAUGCUGUGACAGGCACCGGUGUGACAGGCCCCGGUGUGACAGGUCGGUGUGACAGGCACCGGUGUGACAGGUCGGUCACGUUGGCUCCCUGGCACGCGGCAGAGUGGGGACCGUGCCCCCGUGAGUGUCACACUGGGGUCCACACCAGGCUGAUCCACUGUGAGCUGGGAGUUGCCAUAGAGACUCUAUAAAUACAACCAAACAUCUUCCAGGGAACAGAAGCGUUUCUCAUCCCAAACCUCCACA